rnacentral:rRNA from 1 species
UCGUGGAUUGAUUUGUCUGGUUAAUUCCGUUAACGAACGAGACCUCAGCCUUUAAUAUAUGUUGUCUUGGAUUAGUCCAUUGUCAUCUUCUUAGAGGGACAACUGGUAUCUCAAGCCAGUGGAAGUAUGAGGUAAUAACA